AGGGAGCAUGUGAUGAACAGAUUAGAAUCAGAAAUGAGUGGAAUGACAAUUUAUCAACUAUGGAGAAGAAAGGCUGCAUUUAAUACUUGGAACCAACUGACAAAAGGACGUAUAUGUGGUUUCAAAAAGUAGCAAAGAGUAGGACAUGGUUCUCCUGAGACCACAGAGGAUGUAAAAAAAGCUGUGUCACUGAGCAAAGAGUGGGAAAUAAAAAAAAGAGAGAAAGAGAACAAAUAGACAGUCAUGAACAUCUGAGUGAGUGCAAUUAGCCUUCCCCACUUCCUAACCCUUCCGUGGAUUAGUCAUGUGAGAAGAUGGAACACUCUGAUCGAUGUGAGGUUCCACCACCUGAUUUGUUCUCCUGUGACCGGCUCUGGUGAUGGCAGCCAGAGCCAGAGAAAAGGAGAGCAGAGCCACGAGGAGCUCAAGGUCGAAAUAAUUGUCUCCAUUCUGACCUCUUGUCUCUGAGACUAAGAGCAGCCUGAUACUAGUUAAUAUCUCUGAAUAAAUCCUUUGAAGGUUUGAUACGUGGUGCAGUAGGUAUUUUAUUAAAUGAAAAAGAAAUUAAAUAGUAAGGAAACAAAAAGUAUAUGGUGAUACGUUUAUCUGCAGGGAUGUUGCCCUGCUCUUGAAUUUUCUCUUUUUUCUUUGAUUUUAAAGUGGACAGGACAAAUGUAAAGUGGUAAAAAAAAGACCUUUUAAAUGGCAAUAACGUAACUCAAAGGAUGCUAGUUGCUUAUUAAAACCGUAAAGAAGAGAGACGUGGUUGGAGGAGAAAGAUUCGCUUACAACCAAACCUCAAAGGAAACACACUUUAAUUAGGUUAUAAAUCUCUCAGUGAAACUUUUUUAAGCACUUCAGAAAGUAAUUUCAAGUUUAUCUGAAAUAAAACGUAGCUUUAAAGUUGAUUAGAUAAACAGGGUGUAGACAAGUUAGCAACACUGUCAGGACUGACCAGCUCCAGAGGUCAGUGGGUGUUUGUGUUUGUCAUGAGAGGAAGUCAGUUAGAGUUCUAACAGAAUUACAGUGACAGGGUACUAUUUUUAGGGAGUCUAGUUCAAGUUUAAGGCUAAUUUGAAGAACUGGUCCAACACUGGUUAGCCAUCACUAAAUACAGAUGAGGCUGCUAACAUUCAAUGAUCAUGUUGUGCAUUAAUUGUACUACUGGAAUAUGGUAACUAGGUUACUUUUGAAGACCUACAUAAAUGUAGGUGUGGUGCAGCCUGAAGGGCGUGGACAAAAAACUGUGACGUUUUGUCGUCCAUUUAUAAGAUGAUAUGAAAAGUGCAGAAAUGACCUGGCAACAGCUGCAUCUCCCACAACAUAGUUGACCUUGGAGUCAAGGUCAUCAACACAGGCUUUUCGACCUUUUUCCCCCCAUUCCUCAAUCUCGAGGAAAACGAUUUGAACACUCUCUAAAAGUGAGGUUAAGCAACUGUAACGCUUUUGCUACUGGUAACAGAACCACAGCGUGCUCUGUGCAGCCGUUCAGCCUGAACACUGACAGAAAUCUGACUCAAUCUCACACUCAUUAUUCUUCAAUCUGUAGCUACUUACCAAAUCACUGUUGGCAUCACAUUCAGAAAUGUCUAAUUUAUGUGCUUACUAAUCAACGCCAGUCAAGCAGCAGUCACAGAAGUCAGUCCAAAAGAGGGAACACGACUUGGGGGAGAGAGGGAGGACAGAGAAGGGGGAGCUAGUGUCACACAGCUCUUGUUGAUUUUAGUGUAAAAAAAACUCGCUGUCCUUAUGUGCCUGGUCCGAAUGAUGAGAUAAAAAGGGAAUCUUACAAACAUCUCUUCAGUACACAGUGUUGGUGUCCUUGGAACAAUACUAGAGAAUGUUCUUAAUGUAGUAUUAGUUAGUGCAGGUAUUAAUAAAGAGUACUUGUUCUAAUAAUAACCAUGGCUAACUGUGUGGGGGUUUAUAUGAUCAGAGCAGGGGAGAGGAUGACAAAAAAGGACAGAACAUUUCAAACUCAUGAGGUUUAUGAGCAUCUGCAACCAUGUAGCUGAUCAUCUGGGAGGAAAGAAGCCAAAACCACAGAGCUGCAGAGACAACUGGGAAUGUGAAACAGUCUCAGUAAACCAAGCAAGGGUUGGGGGGGGGCGGGGGGAGAGAACUGAGCUCAACCUGGCCAUCACCACAGGGGAAGGAGACAGAGGGCUGCAUGCCCAAGUCUUAAUAUUUGACAAGAGAAGUAACAAAGAGCCAAUGCUCCGGCUACGUUCGUCCUGGACAGGAUGUCAGCUGUGCUUUCGAUUGGAGCAGAGCUCCAAACCAGGCCUGUACACAUACGAACCCUGACAGGCUUUGUUUAGGGCUUCUCUAGCUUGUUCCCUGACAGUGAGAAUAAAAAAAAAA